CGCGGCGGGGCGAUAGCACGUUGAAAACACCAGUUCCCAAUGGAUCACUGAAGUUAAGCAAAGUUGCGUGUGGUUAGUAUCCGGAUGGGUGACCAUCUGGACAAUCGCGUGCUGCUGGUU
rfam:Asian citrus Psyllid, Diaphorina citri - Florida Strain, whole genome shotgun sequence.